CCUACGGGUGGCAGCAGUGGGGGAUAUUGCACAAUGGGGGGAACCCUGAUGCAGCGACGCCGCGUGGGUGAAGGAGCGUUUCGGCGCGUAAAGCCCUAUCGGCAGGGAAGAAGGAGGACGGUACCUGACUAAGAAGCCCCGGCUAACUACGUGCCAGCAGCCGCGGUAAUACGUAGGGGGCAAGCGUUAUCCGGAUUUACUGGGUGUAAAGGGAGCGUAGGCGGUUUAGCAAGUCAGAAGUGAAAGCCCGGGGCUCAACUCCGGGACUGCUUUUGAAACUGUUGAACUAGAUUGCAGGAGAGGUAAGUGGAAUUCCUAGUGUAGCGGUGAAAUGCGUAGAUAUUAGGAGGAACACCAGUGGCGAAGGCGGCUUACUGGACUGUAAAUGACGCUGAGGCUCGAAAGCGUGGGGAGCAAACAGGAUUAGAUACCCGUGUAGUC
rnacentral:rRNA from 1 species